GGGCCUUGUACACACCGCCCGUCACACCAUGAGAGCCGGGGGGACCCGAAGUCCGUAGCUUAACCGUAAGGAGGGCGCGGCCGAAGGUAAACUGGUGAUUGGGGUGAAGUCGUAACAAGGUAAC
rnacentral:rRNA from 1 species